rnacentral:tRNA from 1 species
UGGCUCAGACAGUAAAGCAUCUGCCUGCAAUGCGGGAGACCCAGGUUCGAUUCCUGG